GACGAACGCUGGCGGCGUGCUUAACACAUGCAAGUCGAACGGAAAGGCCCCUUUGGGGGUACUCGAGUGGCGAACGGGUGAGUAACACGUGAGUAACCUGCCCUUGACUUCGGGAUAACUUCAGGAAACUGGGGCUAAUACCGGAUAGGAAUCCUUGCUGCAUGGUGGGGGUUGGAAAGCUUCGGCGGUUUGGAUGGACUCGCGGCUUAUCAGCUUGUUGGUGGGGUAGUGGCUUACCAAGGCUUUGACGGGUAGCCGGCCUGAGAGGGCGACCGGCCACAUUGGGACUGAGAUACGGCCCAGACUCCUACGGGAGGCAGCAGUGGGGAAUAUUGCACAAUGGGCGGAAGCCUGAUGCAGCAACGCCGCGUGCGGGAUGACGGCCUUCGGGUUGUAAACCGCUUUCAGCAGGGGCGAAGCUUGUGGUGACGGUACCUGCAGAAGAAGCACCGGCUAACUACGUG
rnacentral:rRNA from 1 species